GACGAACGCUGGCGGCGUGCCUAAUACAUGCAAGUCGAACGCUGAAGGAGGAGCUUGCUCUUCUGGAUGAGUUGCGAACGGGUGAGUAACGCGUAGGUAACCUGCCUGGUAGCGGGGGAUAACUAUUGGAAACGAUAGCUAAUACCGCAUAAAAUUGAUUAUUGCAUGAUAGUCAAUUAAAAGGUGCAAUUGCAUCACUACCAGAUGGACCUGCGUUGUAUUAGCUAGUUGGUGAGGUAACGGCUCACCAAGGCAACGAUACAUAGCCGACCUGAGAGGGGGAUCGGCCACACUGGGACUGAGACACAGCCCAGACUCCUACGGGAGGCAGCAGUAGGGAAUCUUCGGCAAUAGACGGAAGUCUGACCGAGCAACGCCGCGUGAGUGAAGAAGGUUGUCGGAUCGUAAAGCUCUGUUGUAAGAGAAGAACGAGUGUGAGAGUGGAAAGUUCACACUGUGACGGUAUCUUACCAGAAAGGGACGGCUAACUACGUG
rnacentral:rRNA from 1 species